rnacentral:rRNA from 1 species
UACGUAGGGUGCGAGCGUUGUCCGGAAUUAUUGGGCGUAAAGAGCUCGUAGGUGGCUUAGUAAGUCGGCGUGUUAAAUCUCCAGGCUCAACCUGGAGUCGCACCCGAUACUGCUAUAGCUAGAGUCCGGUAGGGGCCAUGGAAUUCCUGGUGUAGCGGUGAAAUGCGCAGAUAUCAGGAGGAACACCAGUAGCGAAGGCGGUGGUCUGGGCCGACACUGACGCUGGAGGAGCGAAAGCCAGGGGAGCAAACAGG